ACACCUACAUGGAGGGAGAUGCCAUAGUCAGGCAGGUUGUCUCCCAGGGUGAGGUGCAUCCAUGGUACUCUGGAUUGCUGACCCCUAUAAUUUUGCAAGUACAAACGCAGGAAGCUAGACUGCUUAACUUAUGAAAGUGGGAAACUGUGUUUGCCUUGUCUGCUG
ensembl:snRNA U1 U1 spliceosomal RNA